CCUACGGGCGGCAGCAGUGAGGAAUAUUGGUCAAUGGACGCAAGUCUGAACCAGCCAAGCCGCGUGCAGGAAGACGGCUCUAUGAGUUGUAAACUGCUUUUGUACGGGGGUAAACGCAGAUACGCGUAUCUGUCUGAAAGUAUCGUACGAAUAAGGAUCGGCUAACUCCGUGCCAGCAGCCGCGGUAAUACGGAGGAUUCAAGCGUUAUCCGGAUUUAUUGGGUUUAAAGGGUGCGUAGGCGGUCGGAUAAGUUAGAGGUGAAAUCCCGAGGCUCAACUUGGGAACUGCCUCGGAUACUGGUCGGCUAGAGAGUAGUUGCGGUAGGCGGAAUGUAUGGUGUAGCGGUGAAAUGCUUAGAGAUCAUACAGAACACCGAUUGCGAAGGCAGCCUACCGAGCUACUUCUGACGGUGAGGCACGAAAGCGUGGGGAGCAAACAGGAUUAGAUACCCGUGUAGUC
rnacentral:rRNA from 1 species